AGGACUAGGGGGAGUCACAUCCUACCAAAUCCAGAUGAACUCCGAAUGCUGAUAAAUAUACCAUACAGUGAGGGUUGGGGUGCUAAGGUCCCAAUCCGAGAGGGAAAGAACCCAGAUCUACAGCUAAGGUCCCAAAAUCUAUGUUAAGUUGAACUAAGGAGGUCCAGUUGCAGAGACAGCCAGGAGGUUGGCUUGGAAGCAGCCAUUCCUUCAAAGAGUGCGUAACAGCUCACUGGUCGAGCGACAGGGCAUCGAUAAUAAUCGGGCAUCAAGUGUAGUACCGAAGCUUAGGAUGUAUUUAUACAUGGUAGGGGAGCAUUCUCUUCCGCGGAGAAGGUGUGCUGUGAGGCAUGCUGGAGCGCAGAGAAGCGCAAAUGUAGGCAUA
rnacentral:rRNA from 1 species